UAUGAAGAAGUCAACACUGCUAAAAGGUGAACAAAACAUGGCGUCAAGAAAUGUCAUGUUAGAGGAUGCUAAUGCUAGAGAAAACCUGUCUGUUUUCCAGCUUCCAGCAGCCUGAGCCACGAAGGAAGGAGUGAAACCAGGUGUGUUACCUGCUGUUAGCCUAUCUGGACAUAGCUACAGAAAGGGUGUCAAAACAAGAGCCCAGCUGCUAAGAGAGUAUGGCAGAAGACAGCCAGCUGAGCCCAGCCUGAGUCUCUAGUCUCUUCACCUGGCCACUAGAGCGCUCGUACAAUUGUCUCUGUGCCUCUCCCAGCUUCCUGUCUCCCUAAUCCUUAAUCCUGUGGAAAUCGGUCAGGCAGAAUGAGCCAGCUUUGAUCAGGCUCUCAUAUCAGGCGUGCUAACAGUGUCAGCACACCCGGAUCCCACAGAACCCUGGAGCCCAGGGGGAGAGCUUCAAACAGGCGUUCACCCCCUGACUCUGCUUGAGAGGAAGGGGAAGGGGAGGCUGCAGAGUUCCUGUCUCAACUGCCAGCCACAGACUCUGACAUCAGUCUCACUUUUUUGUUUAAUUUAGCAAACAUUUUCAACAUGAUUUGACACCAUUUGUGAUUUAAAAAAAAACAAAAACUUUGCUUUUGGAGAGCCUUUUUCUGCAACUUGCUUUGAGAAUAGAAAUCAGCAACCAGUGUAAAGCCACUUGCGGAUGAGAAUAGUGUACAUUACAAAGAUGUGAGAUUCGCUUCUGCUUUUGUCAGUGGUAUCCGUGACAGCAAGCAUGAAAUCUGUAUCACUGGUGUUUUUGGUAUCGUGAUCUGCAGCCAAGGAUAAUACCUGUCUGAGAGGGAGGCAUGUCACAAAACACCUGGUGAUCUUGUGGCACAAAUGCAUCAUGCAGGGAAAUUAGCCUUCAUUAAAGGUCAGCUUUACACAGAGCAUUUAACAAAACUCAGGAAAAAAGAUACAAACUGAAUUAUGCCAGGUUAUGUCCACAUUUUUGUUCAAGCAUCCAUCCUGUAGGACUUUUGGUCAAUGCAAUAGAAUAACUCACAACAGGUUAGUGUUCAAAUGGGGCAAACUUUUUAAAACAUUCAUUUACUGACCUGAUAUAAAGUAAUAGUACACUUCAGUCAUGAAAAGUUACUACAUUGUUAGAUGAGGAUUAUGUCAAGGAAUCAUUCACAGAGCAUACAACUUUGCAAAACCAACAGAAGUGGUCUGUAAAAGUUUUCCCCUCUCACAACCUCAUGACCUGGAGGUUGGAGCUCUCUGCAGAUCUACAACAAUACUGACAGUGUAUUCAGUCUCCCCAUUUAAUCAGUUCAGAAGUGUAAUCAGGUGCUUUAAAUCAGCUAGAGAAAUGAAGCAUCUAGCAGGGCCAGUCUGUUGGAUGUGCAACAUCUGAUAUGUGACCACCUGUUAAUAACGAGCGUCAUUCCUAGCUGAAGAUGGUAGAGGGAAAACACACAUUACUGUCGUCAUUGUCCCAGUUUAUAAAAUGUUAAAGUGAGAUGUAAAUUUUGCAAACAGGACCUAUAUUAAAGAAACCGAUGUCGCAUCUGCAUCAAUCAUUGCAGCAAACAAUGGAGCAAAGAUGAAAAU